CUUUGUUUGUGCUGAGAGCAAGACACUUGAUGUAUCAGAAUGGGCUAUUUUUCAGGGAAUAGCUUGUAGGCCGAAUACUCAUCGACCCAGUUUCCAAGUAAACAUGGUUGGGCUGGAGAAAACAACCCAGAGAUCCAACACAAGCAGAUAUCCAUGGGAUUUGGAUGCAGAGAUGUUGGAUGAAGAGGAAGAGUUUGAACUAUGGUUACAAGAAGCCCUGGCAGCAGGUAUCUUUUCCGAGACAUCCAGGACUCAGAAAGAGUUGGAACCCUUCGAGUUGCAUGAUUGCAUCAAAAGAAGGUAAAGAAACAAGGGCGAAGAUCAUCUACAUAACUCCAGAAUAGUAGUUGUUGGUCCGGAAAUAGAUAUGCAGACCUACCGAAAAUGCCUAUUAAUUUUGUCAAAGGGGUGGGAACAUUAGAUAACCAAUGAUACUUAUCAGCCUGCAUAUGUACAUGAGAUAGGUUUCUUCCCUUGUUAUCAGUUUCUUUGAAGGUCCACAUGUGAAGAGUAACCCGGUGACCAGAAAUUGGGUGCCGGCUUUGUCUAUCGAACCAACUUCUUUAAGUUC